ensembl:lncRNA
CACAGAGCGCUGCUGGGACCCCGGUGCCUCCCAGUGGCCUCCAGUAUACUCCCAGUAUUCUCUCAGUCUGUCCCAGCUCCUCCCAGUUGGGGAAACUGAGGCACACGCUCCUCCAGCCCCUCCCAGUGCAUCCCAGUCCUUUCCAGUGAGUUCCAGUGGGGGAAACUGAGGCGCACAGAGCGUUGCUGGGACGCUGGUUCCUCCCAGUGCCCCCUAGUGCCUCCCAGUACCACCUAGUAUCACCCAGUACCCCCCCAGUCCCACCCAGUGGUGGAAACUGAGGCACACAUCCUCCCAGUUUCUCCCAGUACCUCCCAGUGCCUCCCAAUCACUCCCAGUAUCUCCCAGAGACUCCCAGUACAUCUCAGUAUCCACCAGUAUCUCCCAGUGCCCCCCCAGCGCCCUCCCGGUACCUCCCAGUGCCUCCCAGUCUCUCCCAGUGCUUCCCCAGUUCUUCCCAGUAUCUCCCAGUACCUCCCAGUUCUUCCCAGUUCCAGUGCCCUCCCACUCCCUCCCAGUAUCUCCCAGUGCCCCCCCCACAGCGCCCUCCCAGUCCCUUCCAGUCCCUCCCAGUAUCUCCCAGUGCCCCCCCCAGUUCCUCCCAGUCCCNCAAAUUCCCUUUUUAUUUGGCCCCAAAUCCCCAUUUUCGCCCCCAAAAUCUGCUCUUUUGGCCCCAAAUCUGCCCUGGUGUCCCCAAAUUUCCCCUUUUUAACCCUAAAUCCCCCCCCCCCAGUGUCCCCAAAUCCACUUUUUGGUCCUCCAGGUCCUCCCUUUGUCCCCAAAAUCCCCUUUUUUGGCCCCAAAAAUCCCCUCUCAUUGGCAUCCCCCAUAGUGGGCUCCCGUAAUGCUCCUAAUAGGGGCGCACUGCGGUGGCCCAAUGAAUGGGGAGGUCCCGUACUGUAAUGCUCCUAAUACAGGGGGCUCUGCUCCCGUAAUGCUCCUAAUACAAGGGCUCGUAGCAGCGCCUGGCUCCCGUACUUCUCCUAAUAGAAGCACUUGGCUCCUGUAUUUCCCCUAAUAGCAGCAGCUGGAAGUGUUCCCCCUAACAGUGGCGCGUAGUUGCCGUAUUCUUCCUAAUAGCAGGACCUGAGUCCCGAAUUCCUCCUAAUAGCAGCUUCUGGGUCCCGUAUUCCCUAGAAUAGCAGCAUCUGAGUCCCGUAUUCCCUAUAAUAGCAGCACCUAAGUCCCGUAUUCUUCCUAAUAGCAGCAUUUGAGUCCUGUAUUCCUCCUAACAGCAGCGCUUUUGGUACUGUAUUCAUUGUAAUAGCAGCACCUCUUAUAUCAAAUUCUUACUAAUGGCUGCACCCAGGUCCCGUAUUCCUCCUAAUAGCAGCACCCGGGGCCCAUAUUUUUCAUAAUAGCAGUACCUGUGUUCUGUAUUCUCCCUAAUAGCAGCACCCAAGACCCGUAGUUGCUGUAAUAGCAGCACUUUAAGUACCGCGUUUUCUCUAAUAGUAGCAUUUUUUAUACCGUAAUGCUCCUAAUAGCAGCACCUGAUUCCCAUAUUCCCCUUAAGGGCAACACCCAGGUGUCAUAUUCCCCCUAAUAGCAGGACCUGCAUCCCGUAUUCCCCCUAAUAGCUGCACCUUUUAUACGCCACUCUUCUAGUAGCACCCUUAAGCACCGUAUUCCUCCUAAUAGCAGCGCCUAUGUCCUGUAUUCUCCCUAAUAGCAGCACCCAAAUCCCAUAGUCCUUGUAAUAGUAGCAUUUUUCUUACCACAUUUUCUGUAAUAGCAUGUUUUAUACUGUAAUGCUCCUAAUAGCAGCACCCGAGUCCCAUAUUCCCGUUUAUGGCAGCACCCAGGUGCCAUAUUCCCCCUAACAGCAGGAGCUGGGUCCCGUAUUCCCUGUAAUAGCAGCCGCUUUCAUACCAUAUUUUCUCUAACAGCAGCGCCUGUGUGC